AGCGGUGACGGCAACGGCGGCAGCGGUGGCGGUGGUGGCGCCGACGACGACGACGACGAGGAGGAGACUGUCGGUGACGACGACGAGGAUGUUGUUGUUGUUGUUGUUGUUGUUCUCGUACGUGGCACUUCUGAUAGCGAUGACUCUUCCUACCAAGUCACUGUUAUUCUCGCGAACCGAGGACACCAUCUCCUUGCUCGUCCGAUCGCGUUCACUCUCGACGACAAUGCCGACGCCCGCACUAGCCGCGACGCACCAAGGUCGCGCUACCAUGAGUAACAUCGUCGAUUAAAUGCUAACGUCAUCCUCGUCCUCGUCGUCAUCGUUCUCUCCUCUUCUUCUCGUCCUCGUUACGAGCACGAUCCAAGGCAAACGGCUGACCAAACGCACGAACCACCGAUUCCUUCGCGAAUUCCCGAGAAACAAUGUCGAGGAAAAGAGAGAAAGAAAAGCUUUCCGGGGAUAAGGAAUCGAGGAAAAGGCGGUGGUCGUCCCCCGUUCGACUGCACGACACCGAUCCUUGAUAAAAGGAGACGCCCCAACGCGGGCCACCCAGUUCGACGUAUGGCGAGCGACGGCUCACCCCGCGGAUCCGUCUGUGCUCGGGCCAACUCGCGCAGUGCCGUAUCUAGGACCACCGCCUGCUUCGACGCCAACCAAUCUUCCCCCUCCCUUCCCCACCACGCUCAUUCUCUAACCCUUCCGCGAGCUCUAAGGCACGAUCUUUUUUAUAUAAUCUUUUUCUUUUUGUUUUCUUUUUUUCUUACCCCCGCUUAACCCUCCCAACGAGGGUUCUAUAAAAACCAUCCGAUGAUGAAGAUCUUAACUGGAAGAUAGGAAAGUGGUCAUAGAUUUGAUGGUGGCAUCUUGUACAUAUUUCUGUGAAGGGAUCAGGAAGAAGAAGAGAAAAAAGAGGCCGUGAGGGUAAAGAAAGGGAAACGAUUUUAGUAUCGGGCCCCGGGAAUAGUACGGGGCGACCUGGAACCGUCGGGCACUCAGCGGCAAGGCGGGGGACUAAGGAAACCCUUGAAAUCAAUAGCCGGCCUCUACUGCCACCGCCACCCUGAUCAGGCUCCGUUCUGCGCUGCACAUCCGUCCCCUCGCAUCAUCCACCUCCCUCCUUUUACAGCUCCUCUCUCUCUCUCUCUCUCUCUCUCUCUCUCUCUCUCUCUCUCUCUCUCCGAUUCUGAUUUAUCUGCACGACGUAACCGAGGAAGCCAGGAGCCGCACUUCAGUUCGCGCUCGAACGUCCCACUAGUACGGGCACACGUCAUUCGUUGACUUUUUUAGCGGUGUUCCAUGUGACGGUGAAGGAGUAGAAGGAUCAUGAAUCGUCAGCCAAAAAUAAACCAAACUUCUCUCUCCUUCCCUCCCUCAUUUCUUCUUCUCCUUAUCUUUAUUAUUUAUCUUUCAUAUUCAGGUAGUCAAUGAUAAUAGAUUGGAUAAUUUAGCAAAGGAAUGAUUCGAAGGAUUUAAAAAAUUGAAAUAGAAAUUGAUAUAUCAUGAUAUACCAUCGAUGAUUUCGUUCGUAAUGAAACGAAGAAAAAGAUAAAAUAAUGGAAACUGAUACGAAUUGGAACACCUUUCGCCUACUCUCCAUUAGUUAACGAUCUUAAAGAAAGUAGCUCUUGCAUUUUUUUAUAUUAUUUAUUAAUUCGUUGCGAGGCUGAGUUAAACACGAUGCAGGAAGCACGUUUAUGGUAGGUGCAUAAUGCAUGCGAAGAAAUGGUUUUGCAUAUCGACGAGAACAUAUAUUCAGGGACAUUGCAGGCGUGGAGGGUUGAUGCAACUUUUUUUCCUUUUUUUUUCUCAGGCGACGUAGGCAUUCGCAAAGGUAGAAAAUCGAAAAUAAAGAUCAAGAGGAGAUUGCGCGUCACUCGAAAUAAUUUCUCCACUGCAGUGUGUAGAUUUCUCCACCCUUUCGAUGAUGACCACCCGGUGGCACCUUCACUCCUCCUCCAUUCACCCACUUCUCUGCCACGUACAAAGUCGUUACGUGUUUAUAUGUAUGUGUGCGUGUGUACGAGGAUGGUCUGAUUACGGUCUGACCUACUCUACUUCGGGCUAGGGCCAUACGAUUCUCUCUCUCUCUCUCUCUCUCUCUCUUUUCUUUUUUCUUCUCGUUUUCGAAAACUUAUCGCGCUUAUCCGACCUUUCUUUACGUAAAGCUUACAAAUUAAUUAUAAAAAUUCGGUAAUGUUCUACUGAUAAAGUUUAUUAAAAUUAAUGUUUAUAUUGAAAUCGAUGAUAAAAUGACACGAUACACAACGUCUGUCGGAUUCUUUUUUGUUUAAUACUUUUCCUAACGGACGUACAAUUCUGACGCAAAAGAUAUUAUUAAUGAAAUAUAUCAAUGAAAAGAGAUAUUUUUUUUUAUAAAGAUAUUGACGAAACUCGAGCGAUACCGUAACGAAACGAAUCCUCGGACAAAUGAAAAGGCGCGAGUGCCGUUUCGUUUUGAUUUCAUUCGAGCCUUCUUCAGCAAAAUAUGUGAAUAUAAUCCAUUGGAUUGUUCCUUCUCUCUUUGCCUCUCUCUCUCUCUCUCUCUCAUUUUUAUAUAAGUAAAUUAUUUAAUGUAUAUUUUCAACUCGUUACAGAGAUCGUCGACGGAGAUCUCAUUAAAGAGAUCUCAACCGUUUUAUAUUAUUACUAUUACUUAUUUAUUAUUAUAGAAUCUUAAACGGCUUUAUAUUAAUACGCGAAUGCACAGAACAGACGUGCAUUAUAGACACGAGUAAGUACCAUAUGUACAGAAAAACGUGGCACGGAUUAUUUUUGCCGACUUUUUUUUUUCUUUCUUUCUCUCUUCUCGUUAAGUAACACCGGAAAGCCGAUAUAUAAUAAUGUGUGUGUGUGUGUGUAUAUGUGUAUGUCAAGUCUCUCUCCUCCACUUCUCCUUAAAGAUACAACUAUAUAUUAACCUACGAUCCUUCUUGUGUCGUAAAUAAUUGUUAAAGAAUUGUUAAAGAUCUGAUAAAUCGUCUGGCGUUUUUCGCAAAAUCUAUUUCUUCAGGUUGACUGUAUUAGAUCUCAACGUACUUGUAAUAAAUAAUAGUAUAAAUAAUAAAAACGAACACAGUUGCAUUGUGUCGUAUUAUAUACGUAUGUACAUACGUACAUUACAGAAAUAUAAUUAUGAUUCAUUAUAAAUGAAAGACAAUUUAUAAAAUAUUGUGGGAGGAGAAAAAACUGAAAUCAACUGAAAAUUUAGUAAAAUUACAAAUAGGUAGUUCGCCAUUGUUGUUUUCUAUAUCUCUUAACAUAAAUAUAUAAACAUUUAAAUUUUGUGUAUACCAAGUGCGAAGACAUACUUUAUUUAUUAUAAUUUUUAGCAUGCCAAUGUAUUGAAAGUGUAUUUCUUUCAGCAUAUAUAUAUGUACUUUUUUUCCCCUUUCUCUUCUUAUUUCUUCGUUUAUUGAAAAAAAAGAAAAAAAGAAAAAAAAAAAAAAAAAGAAACCGAGCGAUACCGUGUCCAUGUAAGCCAUGCUCCACUUUAGAUUCAAGAAGAAUUUAAUGACAGAGAGGUACAAAGUACAAAUAUUGUGUAGUGUGACAUCCGAGAUAUCUUUAUUUUUAAUUUUUAUAAGACAAACAUAAAGAAAUAAAAAUUACACUGAAGCGUCAUAAAUUCAAUGCAUUAACUUCUUAAAUUAUAUGCCACUGCUGGUUGAUGCAGUCACCACUACCGUAUGGACAAUGACGAACCACUACUAUUCAGUCAGCCCCCCUUCCCUCUCUGCUGUAUCUUCCAAAUAAAUAUCUUUGAGCAAAUCGAACUACAUAGAAAAUGUAGAAUGAACAAGUUAACACAUUGGAUGUUGAAAUCAAAAUGAAAUACAAUUGAAUGAAUAAGGCGUUAUUACCUAUCACAGUGUUAACGUGCCCGAGUUAUUCUUUAUAGAACACACAUAGUGUUUACAAUGAUGCUUGAUCUCAUUAAAUGGUAUUAUUAUAUAUUCUUCAAUUACUUUAAUAAAAAAAAAAAAAAAAAAAAAAAAAAAAAAGAAAAG